GACGAACGCUGGCGGCAUGCUUAACACAUGCAAGUCGAACGGAAAGGCCCUGCUUUUGUGGGGUGCUCGAGUGGCGAACGGGUGAGUAACACGCGAGUAACCUGCCCUUGACUUUGGGAUAACUUCAGGAAACUGGGGCUAAUACCGGAUAGGAGCUCCUGCUGCAUGGUGGGGGUUGGAAAGUUUCGGCGGUUGGGGAUGGACUCGCGGCUUAUCAGCUUGUUGGUGGGGUAGUGGCUUACCAAGGCUUUGACGGGUAGCCGGCCUGAGAGGGUGACCGGCCACAUUGGGACUGAGAUACGGCCCAGACUCCUACGGGAGGCAGCAGUGGAGAAUAUUGCACAGUGGGCGGAAGCCUGAUGCAGCAACGCCGCGUGCGGGAUGACGGCCUUCGGGUUGUAAACCGCUUUCGCCUGUGACGAAGCGUGAGUGACGGUAAUGGGUAAAGAAGCACCGGCUAACUACGUG
rnacentral:rRNA from 1 species